AGGUACGCACAAAUCUAAUCCUCAUCUCAUCAAUUUCUAAACCCUGUGCUUCCUUUGCCCGCCAAACUCCAACCACCUUCGCAUUCCUCCCUUCUCUUUCACAUUUGCGUUUUCUUUACCUUUUCCAACUCUGAACCGUACGAACCUCAUUUUUCCUCUAAUUUGGUUUCACUGCCACUGUUUCUCCCAAUUAGUACUUUGGUGACGAGUUUUCAACCAUUUUGUUUUGUUUUAAAUAAACAGAUUUUCCAGUUUUCCUAUACGAUUUCACUUGUUAUGAGAAACCUGCGAAGUUGUGAUUGUUCCGCAGUUUUGAGAACCGAACUUAAACAAUGUGAAAAGGAAAUUUAAUGUUAUUGUUGAGUUUUUCUUGAGCUUAUGGUUGAUUGCUGGUAUAUUACUUAUUAAUGAAUAAUUAGGAGUAGCACAAUGUGUUGAGUGUGGAAGAAGAGCAUUUUUAUCGAUGGCAGAAUGUGUGGCUUCCCCAUUUAGUGUUAAGCUACAUAUGCUGAGAAGGCCUGUUAGAGAGAGAGGCUUCUCGGGUACAAAUUUCAAGGCUGUUCAAAGAAAGUAUUCUGGAAGUGGAUGUAACCUUCUUCACUUCUCUACAUUGAAGACAUUUGAGCUGAGUGUACUAGGGGCCACAUAUUCAAAAUUUAGUCGUUGUCGUCAGGCAAUUCCAUUAGAUUGCAUUGGUUUAGGGGCUUUGGUUGACUUUGAUGGUGCAGCAGCUUCUGAUUUGGUUCCAGUUGUUGAUCAGGUGCUUUUGAUGGGCAGUAUAUUUCUCACUUAUAUGGCUGGAGUUAUUCCUGUUGAGAAAUCUUAUUCCAGCUAUCAAAAGACCAAUUCUGAUAAAAAUGUGUUUCCUGAAACCUCAGGCAAUUCUGGUAGUUCAGUGAAGCAAAAUUAUGGAAUAGAUUCGAAGUAUAUAUUCAAUGUGGUGAGAGGGAAACUUUUGAAUUCUCUAAAUGCUUUAGAGUACAAGGCUUAUUCUGGAGACAUCAUCCUUCAAUCUGCAAAGAGACCCUUGAGCUUAAGUGCUGUUGCAAAGGGUCCAAAGUUGAGGUUGCUUUGGGCUGCUUUUCAGCAAGUUGAGGAAGAGGCAGGGAUUGUCUUUAUUUUCCCCUUUCAAUAUUGUCAUAUGCAUAUAUUAUGUUAUUUUGGUAUAAUCUGAAAUCUGAAAUUUUGACAAAUUGGAAUGAGCAUUGGAUCUGUUCUAAUUAAUUCUUGAAACAUGUUCUCUUGCUAAAUAUAUCUCAGAUACCUUGUUUUCUUGUUGAGAUACAGCAUUCAAGAGUCUGAAUAAGACUAAUAUGAGAGAGAUGUUUCUUCUUUGCAAAUUUAUUUGAAUUAAAUCUUAGAGAAUGCCAUGUAAGUAUUUUUGCUAACACUCGAACAACUCAAUGAGUACAUUACUUGCUUCCUCUAAUGUGAAGAUGGACAACCAAUUUUUAACUUAACUAUGAGACUUGACAAUUAAUAUGCUCUCUUGGAAGUAAAUUUGAGUCCCAAGUAUGAUUCUCUAUACAUUUUAUUGCUAAUCUCUUCUCUUUAUAACUUAUUUCCGAACUAAUAAAUGCAUGCCUAUGUGAUUCAGUAGCUGUAUAACAUUUUUCCAAUAAUUUUGGUACUGUUAUCAAUUAUUUUAAAUGUUAUUUCCCAGGUUAAUAAUAUCUCAAGCAUUUCCAGAUCUGUUGGUAUGGAUGGUCUCUUUGGAAUACUUUCUAAAGUUAUCCAAAGAUCUUGUCAUUCUAUUUGUGCUACGUGGCUGGAAAAGGAAUUUGUCCUUCUAAAUGGCAAUGCUGACAAGGAAAUUGCUUCUAUGAUACUUGAAAAAGUGAAAAGAGAUAGCACAAUUGUACAGAGCAUUACAAGGUCUGGCAAGAAAGAUCUGUAUUCAGAAUUACUUUGGUAUCUUACUUUUGGUUCGCUCAGAUGAAUCUGGUGAUUGCUUUGUAACUUUGAGGGAGGGACUAAUUUGGAUAGAAAAUCUUUGGAGGACUACUGAGGCGACACGUGUAACUUUGGAGGACUGAUGUGAAUAUUUACUCCCUUUUUUAAAGUAACAUUGAUUUAAGACUCUCACCAGUUGUCCAUCUAUUAUCAGGGAAGAUUGCUGUUAUGAUUCUCGAAUAUUUGCUUCGCAUGGGAUUUCCAUUUUGGAGGAUUUAGUGAUAGCUCUAGCAGAUGGUGUUGCGAGUAUAUAUCUGGAGUUUAUUUCAGUUGAUAGUGAUGUGUCAAGUAAAACUAACAGCUUGGACAUGUCAUUAUGUGCUCUGUCCACAAGGGAACUCCAGAAGUUACGUAAUGAGGUGGCUUUGAACCAGUGGUUGUAUGACAACAUGGACACAGUUGUGUCGAUGUAUGAGGAUCGCUUUGAUCUCUGUACUUUAGAGAGCCAACCCAUUGAUAUAACAGACAAUAGUCAGACUGAAAAUCAAAAUUGGUGGAAGAGGCUUACCCAUCAAAAUUCAAAAUCCAUGUCAUCUGAAUUACAUUGCAUUGAGAUUAGCCAUUUCUCAAUGCCCGUAAAGAGGACCAGGGAAUUAAGGGCCCUGACAGGAUGGCGGUAUUACUUCAGCCUUUUCCUCGAGUUGUCAGAUAUCACCAUGCCCCUUGUUAGAACAGUUAUCGAUAAAGUGAGCGAUGCUAUCUCAUUCUUUUUAGUUAGUUUGAUUGGGAGGUCUUUAGGACUUAUUUAUACAGGUAUUAGGCAGUCUCUCAGAUGGAAGUCGAGAUAAGUGGUACAGUUUUGUGCAGUGCAGUUAAAUUUUUCAUCAUUCUGUUUCCUUUUGCUUCAUAUAUGUGGCAUUUAUAAUAGAAUUGAGGUUUAGAAUCCAUCAAAUUGAAAAUAUUGCAUUGCUCUCCUUCGGUCAUGUAAGGCUUCAGUGGUUUAUAAAUCGGGAAAGCUUAUUCAUCUUGAGCUAAUGCCAAUUUUCAGAAUUGAAGUUUCGUGUUUGGAUCGGAAUAUCAUUACAAUACAAUAUAU